CCCUUAGAUGUUCUGGGCCGCACGCGCGCUACACUGAUGCAUUCAACGAGUCUAAAACCUGCUCUGAUAGGGGUGGGUAAUCUUUUGAAUGUGCAUCGUGAUUGGGAUAGAUGAUUGCAAUUUUUCAUCUUCAACGAGGAAUGCCUAGUAAACGCAAGUCAUCAGCUUGCAUUGAUUACGUCCCUGCCCUUUGUACACACCGCCCGUCGCUCCUACCGAUUGAAUGAUCCGAUGAAUAUCAUGGAUUGAGGAUGCAAGCAGGUUCGCCUAUCUUCAUCUUCGAGAAGUGAAGUAAAUCUUAUCAUUUAGAGGAAGGAGAAGUCGUAACA
rnacentral:rRNA from 1 species